UACGGGGGGAGCAAGCGUUGUUCGGAUUUACUGGGCGUAAAGGGCGCGUAGGCGGCCUGUUAAGUCGAACGUGAAAUCCCUGGGCUCAACCCAGGAACUGCGUCCGAUACUGGCAGGCUUGAAUUCGGGAGAGGGAUGCGGAAUUCCAGGUGUAGCGGUGAAAUGCGUAGAGAUGCGGAGGAACACCGAUGGCGAAGGCAGCCCCCUGGGCUGACACUGACGCUCAGGCACGAAAGCGUGGGGAGCAAACAGG
rnacentral:rRNA from 1 species